UUGGCUUAGAAGCAGCCAUCAUUUAAAGAAAGCGUAAUAGCUCACUGGUCGAGUCGGCCUGCGCGGAAGAUGUAACGGGGCUAAACCAUGCACCGAAGCUGCGGCAGCGACACUGUGUGUUGUUGGGUAGGGGAGCGUUCUGUAAGCCUGUGAAGGUGGCCUGUGAGGGUUGCUGGAGGUAUCAGAAGUGCGAAUGCUGACAUAAGUAACGAUAAAGCGGGUGAAAAGCCCGCUCGCCGGAAGACCAAGGGUUCCUGUCCAACGUUAAUCGGGGCAGGGUGAGUCGACCCCUAAGGCGAGGCCGAAAGGCGUAGUCGAUGGGAAACGGGUUAAUAUUCCCGUACUUGGUGUUACUGCGAAGGGGGGACGGAGAAGGCUAUGUUGGCCGGGCGACGGUUGUCCCGGUUUAAGCGUGUAGGUGUGUGUUCCAGGUAAAUCCGGUUCACUUUAACACUGAGGCGUGACGACGAGGCACUACGGUGCUGAAGCAACAAAUGCCCUGCUUCCAGGAAAAGCCUCUAAGCAUCAGGUAACAUCAAAUCGUACCCCAAACCGACACAGGUGGUCAGGUAGAGAAUACCAAGGCGCUUGAGAGAACUCGGGUGAAGGAACUAGGCAAAAUGGUGCCGUAACUUCGGGAGAAGGCACGCUGACACGUAGGUGAAGUGAUUUACUCAUGGAGCUGAAGUCAGUCGAAGAUACCAGCUGGCUGCAACUGUUUAUUAAAAACACAGCACUGUGCAAACACGAAAGUGGACGUAUACGGUGUGACGCCUGCCCGGUGCCGGAAGGUUAAUUGAUGGGGUCAGCGCAAGCGAAGCUCCUGAUCGAAGCCCCGGUAAACGGCGGCCGUAACUAUAACGGUCCUAAGGUAGCGAAAUUCCUUGUCGGGUAAGUUCCGACCUGCACGAAUGGCGUAAUGAUGGCCAGGCUGUCUCCACCCGAGACUCAGUGAAAUUGAACUCGCUGUGAAGAUGCAGUGUACCCGCGGCAAGACGGAAAGACCCCGUGAACCUUUACUAUAGCUUGACACUGAACAUUGAGCCUUGAUGUGUAG
rnacentral:rRNA from 1 species